rfam:Lupinus angustifolius cultivar Tanjil chromosome LG15, whole genome shotgun sequence.
ACUAUGUACGUGUACCCGCUGUAAAUAUGGACAGAAAGCAAGAUGUGGUCUUUAGGUGGGCUUGUAUAAGUUUCAUAUUGCUCAUAAAGAACCUACAUACAUUU